AGCACUUUCUAACAACUGCUGCUGUAAAAACAGGCUUUAUAAAAGAUGUUUGAUGGACUGACUUAACAAUAACAACAACAACGAGCGUUUUGGUAUGGUUAAGCACCCACUUUUACAAGUACUCACGGUUUAUUUCAAUACCUUAGAAAUGGCAGGAGGCACACAGGCUACGAGUUUCUGAAGCUGUGAAGCUAUAAUAAGCACCAGAGUUACAGAUACAUAUUCAUAUCAACAGGAGAGAAACAUAUGUACAAAUAUAAAUUAAAUUAAAACACUUCUCCACCUCCUAUGAUGCUCUUACUAUCAAUGACUGUGAUUGUAUUCAAUUGAAAUAUUCUUCGCCACAGGUAGGCAGGUAGACAGGUAGGCAGGUAGGCAGGUAGACAGGUAGGCAGGUAGACAGGUAGGCAGGUAGACAGGUAGGCAGGUAGACAGGUAGGCAGGUUGGCAGGUAGACAGGUAGGCAGGUAGACAGGUAGGCAGGUUGGCAGGUAGACAGGUAGGCAGGUAGGCAGGUAGGGAGGUAGGCAGGUAGGCAGGUAGGGAGGUAGGCAGGUAGGCAGGUAGGCAGGUAGAUAGGUAGGCAGGUAGACAGGUAGGCAGGUAGACAGGUAGGCAGGUAGGGAGGUAGGCAGGUAGGCAGGUAGACAGGUAGACAGGUAGGCAUGUAGACAGGUAGGCAGGUAGACAGGUAGGCAAGUAGACAGGUAGGCAGGUAGGGAGGUAGGGAGGUAGGCAGGUAGACAGGUAGGGAGG